rnacentral:rRNA from 1 species
CCCUUAGAUGUCCGGGGCUGCACGCGCGCUACACUGAAGGAACCAGCGUGCUAAAACCAUUGUCGAAAGGCAUUGGUAAACCCAUUAAAAUCCUACGUGAUUGGGAUCGGGAAUUGCAAUUAUUUCCCUUGAACGAGGAAUUCCCAGUAAGUGUGGGUCAUAAGCUCGCGUUGAUUACGUCCCUGCCCUUUGUACACACCGCCCGUCGCUGCCCGGGACUGAGCCGUUUCGAGAAAAGCGGGGACUGCUGCUGUCGGGGCUUUCGGGCCUUGGCUUCGGUGGAAACCGCUUUAAUCGCAGUGGCUUGAACCGGGCAAAAGUCGUAACA